CAAUAGCGUAUAUUAAAGUUGUUGCAGUUAAAAAGCUCGUAGUUGGAUUUCGGAAGGUCCUUAGCAGUCCGCCCCUUCGGGGAGCGGGCUGCUGGCCUCCUAUGUUCCUAACGGUCCUCAUCCGCGAGGGUGGGGAAUCAACCGCUAGGAUCGUUUACUUUGAGGAAAUUAGAGUGUUCAAAGCAGGCGUAACUCGCCUCCGAAUACGUUAGCAUGGGAUAAUGGAAUACGACUUCGGUCUUGUUUCGUUGGUUUCGCUUGGCUGAAGUAAUGAUUGAUAGGGACAGUUGGGGGCAUUAGUAUUUAGUUGUCAGAGGUGAAAUUCUAGGAUUUACUAAAGACUGACCAAUGCGAAAGCAUUUGCCAAGGAUGUUUUCAUUAAUCAAGAACGAAAGUAGGGGGAUCGAAGACGAUCAGAUACCGUCGUAGUCUCUACCGUAAACUAUGCCGACCAGGGAUCCGGAGAGUUUGCAUGGAUGACUCCCCGGGCACCUUGUGAGAAAUCAUAAGUGUUUGGGUUUUGGGGGGAGUAUGGUCGCAAGGCUGAAACUUAAAGGAAUUGACGGAAGGGCACCACCAGGAGUGGAACCUGCGGCUUAAUUCGACUCA
rnacentral:rRNA from 1 species